rnacentral:rRNA from 1 species
UACGGGAGGCAGCAGUGGGAAUCUUGCGCAAUGGGCGAAAGCCUGACGCAGCGACGCCGCGUGAGCGAUGAAGGCCCUCGGGUUGUAAAGCUCUGUGGGGAGGAAAGAAUAAGGAUGGGCCAAUACCCCAUCCGAUGACGGUACCUCCAUAGCAAGCACCGGCUAACUCUGUGCCAGCAGCCGCGGUAAGACAGAGGGUGCAAACGUUGUUCGGAAUUACUGGGCGUAAAGCGCGUGUAGGCGGCCAUGCAAGUCGGGUGUGAAAGCCCUCGGCUCAACCGAGGAAGUGCACCCGAAACUACGUGGCUGGAGUCCUGGAGAGGAAGGUGGAAUGCUCGGUGUAGAGGUGAAAUUCGUAGAUAUCAAGCGGAACACCGGUGGCGAAGGCGGCCUUCUGGACAGUGACUGACGCUGAGACGCGAAAGCGUGGGGAGCAAACAGGAUUAGAUACCCUGGUAGUCCACGCUGUAAACGAUGAGUGCUAGGUGUCACGGGCUUUGACCCUCGUGGUGCCGAAGCUAACGCGUUAAGCACUCCGCCUGGGGAGUACGGCCGCAAGGCUAAAACUCAAAGGAAUUGACGG